rnacentral:rRNA from 1 species
UUGUCUCAAAGAUUAAGCCAUGCAUGUCUCAGUACAAGCCGAAUUAAGGUGAAACCGCGAAAGGCUCAUUAAAUCAGUUAUGGUUCCUUAGAUCGUACCCACAUUUACUUGGAUAACUGUGGUAAUUCUAGAGCUAAUACAUGCAAACAGAGCUUCAACCGGAAACGGAAGGAGCGCUUUUAUUAGAUCAAAACCAAUCGGUGGCGGUUUCCGUCAUCGUACAACUUGGUGACUCUGAAUAACUUUAAGCUGAUCGCACGGUCUCGCACCGGCGACGCAUCUUUCAAAUGUCUGCCUUAUCAACUGUCGAUGGUAGGUUCUGCGCCUACCAUGGUUGUAACGGGUAACGGGGAAUCAGGGUUCGAUUCCGGAGAGGGAGCCUGAGAAACGGCUACCACAUCCAAGGAAGGCAGCAGGCGCGCAAAUUACCCACUCCCGGCACGGGGAGGUAGUGACGAAAAAUAACGAUACGGGACUCAUCCGAGGCCCCGUAAUCGGAAUGAGUACACUCUAAACCCAUUAACGAGGAUCAAUUGGAGGGCAAGUCUGGUGCCAGCAGCCGCGGUAAUUCCAGCUCCAAUAGCGUAUAUUAAAGUUGUUGCGGUUAAA